rnacentral:rRNA from 1 species
AUUGAACGCUGGCGGCAUGCCUAACACAUGCAAGUCGAACGAGUGGCGGACGGGUGAGUAAUGUCUUGGAAACUGCCUGACGGAGGGGGAUAACUACUGGAAACGGUAGCUACUACUGCAUACCAUCAGAUGUGCCCAGAUGGGAUUAGCUAGUUGGUGGGGUAACGGCUACCCAAGGCGACGCGCCCUAGCUGGUCUGAGAGGAUGACCAGCCACACUGGAACUGAGACACGGUCCAGACUCCUACGGGAGGCAGCAGUGGGGAAUAUUGCACAAUGGGCGAAAGCCUGAUGGAGCCAUGCCGCGUGUAUGAAGAAGGCCUUCGGGUUGUAAAGUACUUUCAGCGGGGAGGCGUUACCCGCAGAAGAAGCACCGGCUAACUCCGUGCCAGCAGCCGCGGUAAUUC